rnacentral:rRNA from 1 species
UGAAUCAGUGUGUGUGUUAGUGGAAGCGUCUGGAAAGGCGCGCGAUACAGGGUGACAGCCCCGUACACAAAAAUGCACAUAUUGUGAGCUCGAUGAGUAGGGCGGGACACGUGGUAUCCUGUCUGAAUAUGGGGGGACCAUCCUCCAAGGCUAAAUACUCCUGACUGACCGAUAGUGAACCAGUACCGUGAGGGAAAGGCGAAAAGAACCCCGGCGAGGGGAGUGAAAAAGAACCUGAAACCGUGUACGUACAAGCAGUGGGAGCCUCUUUAUGGGGUGACUGCGUACCUUUUGUAUAAUGGGUCAGCGACUUAUAUUCUGUAGCAAGGUUAACCGAAUAGGGGAGCCGAAGGGAAACCGAGUCUUAACUGGGCGUUAAGUUGCAGGGUAUAGACCCGAAACCCGGUGAUCUAGCCAUGGGCAGGUUGAAGGUUGGGUAACACUAACUGGAGGACCGAACCGACUAAUGUUGAAAAAUUAGCGGAUGACUUGUGGCUGGGGGUGAAAGGCCAAUCAAACCGGGAGAUAGCUGGUUCUCCCCGAAAGCUAUUUAGGUAGCGCCUCGUGAAUUCAUCUCCGGGGGUAGAGCACUGUUUCGGCAAGGGGGUCAUCCCGACUUACCAACCCGAUGCAAACUGCGAAUACCGGAGAAU